GUCCAGGGAUGAGAAUCGAACCCACAGUAUUCCGUUUACCGGGCAGAUGCCAUGUCCACUAGGCUACCCUGGA
rnacentral:tRNA from 1 species